UAGAAGUGAACGACAUCGUACUAGUCGUCGACCCAGAUCUUCCCAGAAAUUGCUGGCCUAAAGGUAGGGUGAUUUCUGUCAAUCGUGCAAAGGACGGACAAGUGAGAUCAGCCACGGUACAAACUGUGACUGGAAUAUACGAGCGACCCGCAACGAAGAUCGCCGUACUGGAUGUUCGCCGCGAAGAAUUGGUAAACCAGGACCCUGGCGUACCUGGGGGGGAGUGUUGCGACCCCUCGGUCGACGCGCCUUAUUAGGACGAUCUUCAUUGAGGUACCAUGAUCCCGACAGAACUCGAUAGAUGUAGGUAGAACACUCAAUAUGACAGAGCAACUUGUCAAAUGCUGGGACGUCAAACAUGAGAUGGUCAGGAGAAUGAUUAGGCAAAAUUGCGGUGUGGUUCUCGAAUUGUUAUUAUAGAAUUUUUGCAGUUACUCGUUAUAGUUAUAAUUGUUUUGCAAGUAAUUAGUGAAACGAGAUAAGCUGUACUAGACUUCGGCGUAUUCGCUAACCGUAACUGAACUGCGUUGGAGAUCGUUUAUAGAAACAUAUUAUCUAGAAACAGAUUUGCCGCUAGAAGUUUGGAACCAUACAUCAUAAAGGGACGAAGAUAGGAGGAAUUAGAGCACGAAAGAACUAAACGUAAGUUGAGUGUGGCCCCAAUUGAAUUGUGACUAAUGAGGUUGAAUUUCAGGAAUUUUUUAAUGUGCCUAAUAAAUAUUAAGAAAUCGGAAUCUCGUGCCCUCCUUUCACUACUCUUGAUAGUUGACCGGUGAG